UACGUAGGCAGCGAGCGUUGUUCGGAUUUACUGGGCGUAAAGAGUAUGUAGGCGGUUUGGCAAGUCUGGUGUGAAAUCUCCCGGCUUAACUGGGAGGGUGCGCCGAAAACUGCGUGGCUAGAGUGUGGGAGAGGAAAGCGGAAUUCCUGGUGUAGCGGUGAAAUGCGUAGAUAUCAGGAGGAACACCGGCGGUGUAGACGGCUUUCUGGACCAUUACUGACGCUGAGAUACGAAAGCGUGGGUAGCAAACAGG
rnacentral:rRNA from 1 species